GACAGAGGGUGCAAACGUUGUUCGGAAUUACUGGGCGUAAAGCGCGUGUAGGCUGCUCGGAAAGUCGGAUGUGAAAGCCCUGGGCUUAACCCAGGAAGUGCAUUCGAAACUCCCGAGCUGGAGUCCUGGAGAGGAAGGCGGAAUUCUCGGUGUAGAGGUGAAAUUCGUAGAGAUCGGAAAGAACACCAACGGCGAAAGCACUCUGCUGGGCCGACACUGACACUGAGAGACGAAAGCUAGGGGAGCGAAUGGG
rnacentral:rRNA from 1 species